GCGAGGGUAGCAAAGUUCGGCUAAAUGCGCAGGACUUAAGAUCCUGUCCCUUAGUGGGUUCGAGGGUUCGAAUCCCUUCCCUCGCA
rnacentral:tRNA from 1 species